rnacentral:sRNA from 1 species
UGCAUUUGAAGCUCAUGAGGAUGAGAACCUCCGGGGGCAGGGAGGUUCGACUCGAGCGAAGCGAGAGAACGUUGCGCCAGCAACGGCCCGCAGGGCGAGCCACGAAGUGGCGAGUAAUCCUCUAUCACCGACCA